CUUACCAGGCCUUGACAUGCAAUGAACUUUCCAGAGAUGGAUUGGUGCCUUCGGGAACAUUGAGACAGGUGCUGCAUGGCAGUCGUCAGCUCGUGUCGUGAGAUGUUGGGUUAAGUCCCGUAACGAGCGCAACCCUUGUCGUUAGUUGCCAGCACGUUAUGGUGGGCACUCUAAGGAGACUGCCGGUGACAAACCGGAGGAAGGUGGGGAUGACGUCAAGUCAUCAUGGCCCUUACGGCUUGGGCUACACACGUGCUACAAUGGUCGGUACAGAGGGUUGCCUAGCCGCGAGGUGGAGCUAAUCCCAAAAAACCGAUUGUAGUCCGGAUCGCAGUC
rnacentral:rRNA from 1 species